ACUGUUUACCAAAAACACAGGUCUCUGCUAAGUCGUAAGACGAUGUAUAGGGGCUGACACCUGCCCAGUGCUGGAAGGUUAAGAGGAGUGCUUAGAUAGACUAAGGUCAAUGAUUCGAAGGUACGAAUUGAAGCCCCAGUGAACGGCGGCCGUAACUAUAACGGUCCUAAGGUAGCGAAAUUCCUUGUCAGGUAAGUUCUGACCCGCACGAAAGGUGUAAUGAUCUGGACACUGUCUCAACCAUAGACUCGGUGAAAUCUUAAUACCUGUGAAAAUGCAGGUUACCCGCAACAGGACGGAAAGACCCCAUGGAGCUUUACUGUAGCUUGAUAUUGAGGUUCGGUGUAUUAUGUAGAGGAUAGGUGGGAGACUAAGAAGCUAGGACGCCAGUUCUAGUAGAGUCAACCUUGGAAUACCACCCUUAAUACAUUGGACUUCUAACCUAGGACCGUAAUCCGGUUCAGGGACAGUGUCUGGUGGGCAGUUUGACUGGGGCGGUCGCCUCCCAAAGAGUAACGGAGGCGCUCAAAGGUUCCCUCAGAAUGUUUGGAAAUCAUUCUAAGAGCGUAAAGGUAUAAGGGAGCUUGACUGCGAGACCAACAAGUCGAGCAGAUACGAAAGUAGGACUUAGUGAUCAGACGAUGCAGAAUGGAAUGGUCGUCGCUUAACGGAUAAAAGUUACCCUGGGGAUAACAGGCUGAUACCACCCAAUAGUUCACAUAGACGGUGGUGUUUGGCACCUCGAUGUCGGCUCGUCACAUCCUGGAGGUGAAGUCGCUUCCAAGGGUUGGGCUGUUCGCCCAUUAAAGUGGCACGCGAGCUGGGUUCAGAACGUCGUGAGACAGUUCGGUCCCUAUCCGUUGUGGGCGUAGGAAAAUUGAAGAGAGCUAUCCUUAGUACGAGAGGACCGGGAUGGACCAACCUCUGGUGUAUCUGUUGUAACGCCAGUUGCAGUGCAGAGUAGCUAUGUUGGGAAUGGAUAAUCGCUGAAAGCAUCUAAGCGAGAAGCCAACUUUAAGAUGAGUUUUCCCAUAUUUUAUAUAGUAAGAUCCCUCAAAGACGAUGAGGUUGAUAGGCUAGAUGUGGAAGCAUGGUGACAUGUUGAGCUGACUAGUACUAAUAGAUCGAGGAUUUAACCC
rnacentral:rRNA from 1 species